AUCCGGGCGUGGUGGCACAUGCCUGUAAUCCCAGCUACUCGGAGGCUGAGGCAGGAGAAUCGCUUGAACCCUGGAGGCGGAGGUUGCGGUGAGCCCAGAUCACACCAUUGCCUGGGCAACAAGAGCGAAACUCUGUCUCAAAAAAAAAAAAAAAAAAAUUAUUGCUGGACCUGCUCCUCCCAGCGCUCAGGGGCAGGAGCUUGCUGGAAGUCACAUGCCAGCUACAGAUGCACUGGGCCAGACGACCUGAGAUGGUGGUGCCACCUCACUGCACAGCCCAGGCAGAGGCUGUGUCUCCACCCAGAGGGUCCGAAAGGUCAUGUUCCACGCUAGGGCUCCGGGCGGAGAGGCCGGAAGAGGCGGGGAUGCCGGCGACUCAGUAGUAAGGCAAGUCCUGCCACCUCCUGGCCGGCCCUUCCGCUGGCGUGGCCCUCUCUCUGCAAGCCCUGGGGCCCAGCGCCAGCAGCGGCCCCGCCCCGCGUUCGCUGGGUGACCGGUGGGCGGGGCGCCCUCGAGGGACCAGCAGGAACAGCAGCAGGAGGACAAACUGCCUCACCCUCCCUGCCCCAAGAGGUGCUUUCGCCCUCUUGCUGUACUUGGGCAGCGGGGAGUCUGGGCAGGAACACUCUUCCCUCCCAGCAAAGGAGCUGGACCCAGCACGGCUCAUCGGGGAUUGAAGACCCAGCCCUGGCCCUCACAGGAGGAGCCAACAGCACCACGCCAGUUACUUCCAACCAGACAGUCCCGGGCAGGGAUGCCAGCAGACAGCUGGCACGGGAGGAAGCCCAAAAUAACCCAGACAGCUGGGGUGAGGGGGUGCCAUGGGCACAGGCGCUGGCUGCCAAGUCAAGCCACCUGGAACCCCAUCCUGGCUCUAUUGGUGGUGGCCUUGUGACCUUGGGGAGUCACUUCUCCCCGGACCAUGGGUGGGUGACCCAAAUCUUGACCCCAUCAUGGAACAGCCCCUGUGGAUGGGGAAAGGCCUGCAGCUGGACUCAACCACUCCAGAGGAGAACCGCGUUGGCCGCCUUCCCAGGGAGCGCCAGAUUCCCCUUUGCCCUGAGGCAGGGACACGUGCUUCAGCAGGUGGGCUGGUGCGGGGGGAAGCUCUGAGGCAGCCCAGCCCCCACCCCCUGCAGCCACUCCCAGCAAUAACCACGAUCACAAUGGAGGCCAACUAAAAGCUUGGGAGGAGGGCCUCUUUAACGCACUUAAUCCUCCCACCACCCUUUCCAGCAGGCAUCCUUAUCACUUUACAGGGAGACACUCACCCAAGGUCACCAGCACUGAGAGAUCCUAGCCCAUGGCGAACUAUCUCCCUUAACUUAGCACCAAGAUACCUUUAGCAAGAUCUCCUUGUUAAUCCGAACAGGCCCCCAGAGCUCGGUGUAGCCCUCACAGCGGGAGUGGGGCACAAGUCCCAAAUAGGGGAGGUGGUGUGAUCAGGAGCACCUGGACCCAAAUGGUUCAUCAAAGCAAUCACAAAGCAGAAAUCACAAGGAGGGGGGCUCCGAGACCAAGGGCCGCCAUCUCCAGCUGUGGAGCUUCUUAGACACUGAGAUGGGAAACUAUUCAAUACAUGAAGUCGGCUAGCGUUAGAAUGAAAUCAAUUACUAUGUGCCAAGCGUGGAACGUGGCACUUCUGCGUCAAAACCCCAGGUGUUACCAGGCUAGGGGCUGGAGUCUCAAAAUGUGUUCCCAGACCACAGCAUCAGCCUCACCUCACCUGGGAACUUGUUAGAAAUGCCAGUCCUAAGGACCAACCCACUGAAUCAGACACUUGGGCACCAGGCCCGGUGGUCCAUUUUCAGUGAGCCCCCCUUCCGGUGUGAUUCUGAUGCCGGUUCCAGACUAAGAACCACUGAUCUAGCCCUGUUUUCGGAGAUGGAGAAAUAGGCUUGGAGGCUAUACC
rnacentral:lncRNA from 1 species